rfam:Dipodomys ordii contig_38608, whole genome shotgun sequence.
GGCGAUGUGGCUUAGUGGUAGAGUUCUUGCCUAGCAUGCAUGCAGUCCUGGGUUCAAUUCCUCAGUACCA